GCUUACGGCCACACCACCCUGAGCACGCCUGAUCUCGUCCGAUCUCGGAAGCUAAGCAGGGUCGGGCCUGGUUAGUACUUGGAUGGGAGACCGCCUGGGAAUACCAGGUGCUGUAAGCU
rnacentral:rRNA from 1 species